rnacentral:rRNA from 1 species
AGGCGAGGCCGCAAGGCGUAGUCGAUGCACAUACGGUAGAAAUUCCGUAGCCGGCUCAACUGUUAAGCAUACUGACACAUGAGAGUAGCUCUACCGGGCGUUGGUUGCCCCGGGCGUAAGCGAGCCGAAUGAGGCGAAGUGAGUAAAUCUUGUGGCGAGAAAAGGUGUGUGUAUUGGUUGGGCUGCCCGUACCGCAAACCGACACAGGUAGAUGAGGAGAAGAUCCUAAGGCCAUCGGGAAAGGGUUGUUAAGGAACUAGGCAAAUUGACCCCGUAACUUCGGGAGAAGGGGUGCCUACGAGAGUAGGCCGCAGAGAAUCGGCCCAAGCAACUGUUUACCAAAAACACAGGUCUCUGCUAAAUCGAAAGAUGACGUAUAGGGGCUGACGCCUGCCCGGUGCUGGAAGGUUAAGAGGAGGACUUAGCGGAAACGCGAAGGCCCGAACUGAAGCCCCAGUAAACGGCGGCCGUAACAAUAACGGUCCUAAGGUAGCGAAAUUCCUUGUCAGGUAAGUUCUGACCCGCACGAAAGGCGUAAUGAUUUGGGCACUGUCUCAACAGCCCGCCCGGCGAAAUUGUAGUACCGGUGAAGAUGCCGGUUACCCGCAACUAGACGGAAAGACCCCAUGGAGCUUUACUGCAGCUUAAUACUGAGAUUCGGUAAAUCAUGUACAGGAUAGGUGGGAGACUAAGAAGCCAGGCCGUCAGGUUUGGUGGAGUCGCCCUUGGGAUACCACCCUUGGUUUGCUGGGUUUCUAACCUGCGGCCCUGAAUCGGGUCGGGGGACACUGUUAGGCGGGCAGUUUGACUGGGGCGGUCGCCUCCUAAAAUGUAACGGAGGCGCUCAAAGGUUGGCUCAGCAUGGAUGGAAACCAUGCAAUGAGUGUAAACGUAUAAGCCAGCCUGACUGCGAGACCGACGGGUCGAGCAGAGACGAAAGUCGGAGUUAGUGAUCCGGUGGUAUGUGAGUGGAAAUGCCAUCGCUCAACGGAUAAAAGCUACCCUGGGGAUAACAGGCUGAUCUCCCCCAAGCGUCCACAGCGACGGGGAGGUUUGGCACCUCGAUGUCGGCUCGUCGCAUCCUGGGGCUGAAUUAGGUCCCAAGGGUUUGGCUGUUCGCCAAUUAAAGCGGCACGCGAGCUGGGUUCAGAACGUCGUGAGACAGUUCGGUCCCUAUCUGUUGCGGGCGUAGGAGAUUUGAAGGGAGCUGACCUUAGUACGAGAGGACCGGGUUGGACGUACCUCUGGUGUACCAGUUGUUCUGCCAAGGGCAUGGCUGGGUAGCUACGUACGGACGAGAUAAACGCUGAAGGCAUCUAAGCGUGAAACUCUCCCUGAGAUAAGAUCUCCACUGAGGCUCGACGUAGACUAUGUCGUUGAUAGGUCAGAGGUGGAAGUGCAGCAAUGCAUGGAGCUGACUGAUACUAAUAAGCCGAAAGCUUGACC